rnacentral:rRNA from 1 species
UACGUAGGCAGCGAGCGUUGUUCGGAGUUACUGGGCGUAAAGAGUGCGUAGGCGGUUUUCUAAGUUUGGUGUGAAAUCUCCCGGCUUAACUGGGAGGGUGCGCCGAAGACUGGAAGGCUUGAGUAUGGGAGAGGUAAGCGGAAUUCCUGGUGUAGCGGUGAAAUGCGUAGAUAUCAGGAGGAACACCUGGUGUAGACGGCUUACUGGACCAUAACUGACGCUGAGGCACGAAAGCGUGGGUAGCAAACAGG